UUGUAUACCUUCUACACAACUCGACAAUAAAAAACACACAAUUUUGUAUUCAACUUUUGAUCUUAUUUUUCAAAAAUCACAACGCGAGUUAUCCGAGACGGUAUCAUCCCCUAUAUAUAUAUAUAUGUAUGCACAAUUAAUGCAUCGUGAUUCCGAUCAGUUUUGCGGAUCCGCAAGUGGAAAACGUUCAAAUUAUAAAGUCGCAGCAGCAGUUAAAACAUAUUAACUUUGAUUCGGUUAAAGAAGCGCAGCAUCAACUAUUUGAACUGAUGGCGGUCACCGAAUAACGGAAUACCAGGAACUGAUCAAUUCAACCAAAUAAUCAAUCAAUCAAUCAAUCAACCAACCGAUCGAUCGAUCAAUCUCAAUCGAUUAAUCACUGCAAUCUUCGUGCCAACGCUUGUCUUACGUUUCCUUUGCAGUGUUACGUUGUUCAAAAUCGUGGACUUUAAUAGAGUUCCUUUUGGAUUCGUGUUUUAUUUUAUUACCAAACUUUAAUUUUGUGUCGUUUCUUUUAAAUUUUAUUUUUUUUUUUUGUGUUUUAAUGGUGCAUCGUCGGCAAAUACGGGCUGCCACAGUUUGGCUUGUCCAAGUGGAACACCUCACUUCAGCUCCAGCUCCGAUUUCAACUUAAACUUCAGCUGUCUCCCCACACAUCCAUCCAUCUGUCAACUCAUCCAUUCAUCAGUCGGCAGCCGCCAUAGAAAGUGUUGAAGUGCUUGCCACAAACUGGCGCCCGCCCAGGACGAAGCCAACCGACGUCACGUCGUUAGAAAAGUUGGCGGAUUUGCUGAUA